CUCAAACCCCACUGUGGCCUUGUCAGUCUCCACCUAACACACACCACACAGUUAGCCAGGUGUCAGUCUCCACCUAACACACACCACACAGUUAGCCAGGUGUCAGUCUCCACCUAACACACACCACACAGUUAGCCAGGUGUCAGUCUCCACCUAACACACACCACACAGUUAGCCAGGUAACAGUCCUCCAACAGCUCAAACCCCACUGUGGCCUUGUCAGUCUCCACCUAACACACACCACACAGUUAGCCAGGUGUCAGUCUCCACCUAACACACACCACACAGUUAGCCAGGUAACAGUCUCCACCUAACACACACCACACAGUUAGCCAGGUGUCAGUCUCCACCUAACACACACCACACAGUUAGCCAGGUGUCAGUCUCCACC